rnacentral:rRNA from 1 species
AUGGCGGCGUUGAUGAGGAUGGUGCUGCUGGUCGUGUUCUUGGUGCACAUGUUCAGCGUCGUUGCGCCUGUCUCGGCGAGGACGUUGAAGGGCGACGCCUCCUGGCUCAGGGACGGCAUCGGGAUGGUGGCGGAGAUGCUCCGCGACCUCAAAUCAGGGUCCAGCCCUCCCACGCACUGCUGCUAG